UCUCUCUUUAUUUCUCUCUCUCCAUCUCCCUCUCCCUCUCCCUCGAUCUCUCUUUAGAUCUCUCCCUGUAACCAACACCCAAAGAAACCUGAAGCGGGAUUACCUGGCCAACACCCCUGAAGACGGAUUGCCAGGUCCUAACCCCUGGGUUGCUGGCGGAAACCCUAGAGCUUAGCGGAGCUUCAGAAAUUAUAUCACCUUGCAUUAAACGGGUCAGAAGAAGAAAAGUCAGCUGCUGCUAAGAUCCUUUGUGGUGCAUCUCUCAGCCACGGGUGGAAUGUCCAGGCUGUAGGCUGUCAAUGCUGAUUCUGUUUCAAACCUGAGGAGUGAGCUCGGACACCUGUUAGCUGAUAAGAGCCAUAAUCUCUAGUUGCAG